AGUUAGCUCUUCACCCCGACCAGGGUAUUCUUAGCUUGGCUGGUGGAUUCGUGGCGAGGGGGUGAGUAACCCGUGAGUAACCUGCCCCUGACUUCGGGAUAAGCCCGGGAAACUGGGUCUAAUACCGGAUAUGACUUCCUGCUGCAUGGCAGGGGGUGGAAAGAUUUAUCGGUUGGGGAUGGACUCGCGGCCUAUCAGCUUGUUGGUGAGGUAAUGGCUCACCAAGGCGACGACGGGUAGCCGGCCUGAGAGGGUGACCGGCCACACUGGGACUGAGACACGGCCCAGACUCCUACGGGAGGCAGCAGUGGGGAAUAUUGCACAAUGGGCGAAAGCCUGAUGCAGCGACGCCGCGUGAGGGAUGACGGCCUUCGGGUUGUAAACCUCUUUCAGUAGGGAAGAAGCCCCUUUUUGGGGGUGACGGUACUUGCAAAAGAAGCGCCGGCUAACUACGUGCCAGCAGCCGCGGUAAUACGUAGGGCGCAAGCGUUAUCCGGAAUUAUUGGGCGUAAAGAGCUCGUAGGCGGUUUGUCGCGUCUGCCGUGAAAGUCCGAGGCUCAACCUCGGAUCUGCGGUGGGUACGGGCAGACUAGAGUGAUGUAGGGGAGACUGGAAUUCCUGGUGUAGCGGUGAAAUGCGCAGAUAUCAGGAGGAACACCGAUGGCGAAGGCAGGUCUCUGGGCAUUUACUGACGCUGAGGAGCGAAAGCAUGGGGAGCGAACAGGAUU
rnacentral:rRNA from 1 species